CCCCGUAAGGAACUCUGUUUCACCGAGUAGAGUAGGAGAGAAAGGUUUGAUUUCAGCCUUCCCGUUGCUACCAACCGCAGAGAGGAAAGAAGAAUAGAAAUUUCCCUCUGUUCCGUUCCUUUCUGCGAAGAACAGAAAUUCUCCCUCUCUGUUCCCGUUCUUUUUUUUCAGUUUCAAGAUCCAAUCUGCCCCAAUAUUUUCCCGGGCCCCUUUUCUACGAUGAGUAGAGGAAGAAAAUUUUCGAUCUUGAAAGAGCAGAGCGUCCCCGAUCUCUCUGGUCGCAGCCUCGCCUCCGCUGGAAGGAAUCAGCCACCGAGCCCCUUUUCCCCGAUGAGAAGCAGGGGAAAGGGGGCGGUGCAGAGACCCUCUCUUCUCCCUUCUCGGAUCUCGCUGGAAGAAGGAGAGUAGAUCUCCACUGUUCAGGCUCCUUUUUCCCGAUUAGAAGAGUAAGAAGGAGACUCCUCCUCUGUUCGUGCAAGAGAAACAGAGCAUAUCUCCCACCUUCUUCGAUCUCGCUGAAAGAAGGAGAACAGAACAGCUGGUCAAUCGCUCCUUGAGAGCAGAAACCUCAGCCCCUUUCCUCGUCUUCGCCCUCCUCUGUUUCACAAUGGAAGAAGAACGCCGGCCGCAGAGAGGAUAGGGUUCCGUUCCCUUCUCCUUCUCCGAUCUCGCUUCUUCCUUCCCCUCGUAGAAGUUUUCUUGAUGUUUCUUCUUUCCUCCCUGUUCUGUUCGUUCUGAAUGCAGAUCUCUUCCCUUCUUGCAGAAGAAGGAAGAGACAACCCCUCUUCUUGUUCGCGUAAGAGGAAGGAGGAGAGCAGAGAGUGCGACCUCCCUCCUGCGGUCGAUCUCGCAGGUCUCCAGCAGUCGCCCCUUUACCCGAAGCUCGCCGCCGCCGUCGUCCAGCGGUGAAUGAGCGCCGACCGCUGGGUCGGCUGGAAGAAGCCUCCAGCGUCAACACUUUCUUUUUGCGGUUUGAGUUAUCUAAAAAGAAUCAUAAUAUGUCUCUCAAUAUUCAUAAUUUGUCUACAUGAUUCGUAAAUCUCAUUACCAAUUCUUCUUGAUAUU